AAGUUCAGAAACAAAAUGUGUCUAUAGAAAAUAUGAGGACAGAGCUCAUGAUUGCAGAUCCUUUGACAAAAGGUUUACAACCGAAGACUUUUAAAGAGCAUGUUGAAAGAAUGGGUCUUAGUUGUAAUCCAUGAUAUUAGUUGAGGAUUGUAUUAUGAUUUCUUUGACACUUAGAUAUAAUUGAUUAUGUUUCUGAUUUUCCUGUUCUUCAAAUAUAUGUACAUGUAUGGUUUGAAUGUAUGAUUACAGGAAUUGUCUCUGACAAAGACAUAAUGUUUGACCAUUAAAGAUACUUCUCAUUUAUGGACUAUGGUUAAAUAAUUUGCUAGUGUUGUGGUACUUGGAAGGAACUAUGUCAUUAUAUUGAUGUGGAACCGCCUUGACUCGCAUUAGUAAGUUGUUUAAUUAUGGUAUUAUGAUGACCCAAGUGACUAUGGAUUAGAAUGAUGCGCGCCUAAUGUUUAUAUCAU
rnacentral:lncRNA from 1 species